AAUCAUUUAAUGGAACCACAUUCAUUUUCAUCUCAAUUUUUAUUAUAAUAUUAUUUAACAAUUUCAUAGGAUUAUUCCCUUAUAUUUUUACUAGAACAAGACAUUUAGCAUUAACAUUUGCAAUUGCCCUACCUAUAUGGCUAAGAUUUAUAUUAUUUGGAUGAAUUAACCAUACUAAUCAUAUAUUUACACACCUUGUACCACAAGGUACACCGCCUGCAUUAAUAUCAUUUAUAGUACUAAUUGAAAGAAUUAGUAAUGUUAUUCGACCAGGUACAUUAGCAGUACGGUUGGCAGCAAAUAUAAUUGCAGGACACUUAUUAUUAACCUUAUUAGGAAACACAGGACCAUCUAUAGCAAUAAACUUAAUCUCAUUACUAAUUAUUGGACAAAUACUUCUAUUAAUUCUAGAAUCAGCAGUAGCAAUAAUUCAAGCCUAUGUUUUCUCAAUUCUAAGAACUCUAUUUUCUAGAGAAGUAUAUUAAACCUA